AUGGAAGCAACUGAAUAGUUACUUCCGGAAACGAUUGAAAAGCACCAAAUAGAGCUCGCAGGUCAGAAGGAAUAUUAUACCAAUGCUUUGAAUGCAGCAAAGGAAGCUGAAGCUUUAGCAAGCGCACGAGCCAAUAAUGAAGUCCGAGCUGAGAUGGAGGGAUGUCUAACGGAAGCCGUGGAACGUGAAAUAAUGCUUGUCCAAACGCUCGAGGAAUUAAGACAGACAUUAAGUAGUCAGGAGCAGCAGGCAACCAUGAAGGAGGACAUGUUACGCAGAGAUAUUGAGGACCUUCAGAAAUAUUACCAGGAAAAGUGAGCGCCGAUGUGAGGAACUUGUUUCACAACUGCCUGAACACUUAAAUCUCGGCUUUAGGAAGUAGAAGCCAAAGCUGCUUUUGCACAGGAAAGAGAGCUAUCAAUAAACGAGCGUUUAUCUCAAACUCUUUCCCGGAUCAAUGUUCUUAAAGCUCAGAUUUCGUGCCUCAGAGCUGAGCAGACACAGCUAAAUAGGUCUCUUGAAAAAGAAAGACAGAGCGCAGCUGAAAAUAGGCAAGAGUACCUCGCAACAAAGGAAAUAGCUGAUACUCAUGAACGUCGUGCAAAAUAGCUUGAAGAAGAGAUCAAGGAGCUUAAGAGAAAACACAAAAAUGAGUUGCAAGAAUCCCUUGCCCACAGUUAACUUCUACAGCAGGAGUUCGAUCGGGAAAAGACAUCUAGAUUAGAUUUGGAAAAGGAUGCCCAUGUACAGUCUUCAUCCGUGUCAGAUCACAGUCCAACAUUGAAGAACAAAUCGACACAUGAAAAUGGGAAGUUGACACGUAAACUUUCAAGCGCUAGCAGUGUGGGCAACAUGGAAGAAAGCUUCUUCUAGCAAGCUUCUCUAGACUCUUCUUCCUCUUUCCUAGAACGGAUAAAUUCUGGAGAGUCUACCAUGAAUCAUUAUUACCUGAAGAGCAUGACGCCAAGUGCCUUUGAACCUGCCCUUCGACAAAAGGAGGGAGAACUUGCAUCUUAUAUGUCUCGCCUGUACGAUUUCACUGGGAGGUAUAAUUUAGUAAAGUUCAUCAUCAAGGAAGUUCAAGCACAAGGGUUAUACAUUUGCCUCAGGAUUGGCCCUUACAUCGAAAGUGAAUAGAGAUAUGGGGGAUUUCCAUUUUGGCUACAUGACAUCCCUGGAAUUUCUUAGAGAACAGACAACGAGUCGUUCAAGGUGCUUCCGAGUGCUGAUGCUGCUUGUUUUCAGUCUAAUAAAACUAUUUUGAUCAGUUGUCAUUGGUAUUUUUCACUUACAAUUUGUUAAUUAUCCUGUAUGUAGUUCUAUAUGCAAAAUUUUACUACGAAAAUAGUGAACCUUAUGAAAUCGGAGAGUUUAUAUGCUUGACAAGGCGGCCCAAUAAUACUGUCACUGGUAAUGCGUUAAACUAACAUUUCUGAUGAUGAGUUUUUGUCUAAAGUUACCUGUAAAUUUACAGAAUAUAAAUCUUUAAAUAGAUUGAAAGUGAAUAUCAAAACGUUGAAGAAGAUUUUGGCAAUAAAGGGUGUUCUUAUGUACGUUGGGCUGCGUAUGGCUGUUGGACUUCAAACUGGUGUUCCUUGGGUGAUGUGUAAGAAAAUCGAUGCUCCUGAAGUCCUAAUCCCAUGGUUAAUUUAUUUCAUUGUCAAUAGUUAUUUUCAUUUAUCCUUGUAACGAAGAGAAGAAUUUGAUUGUCUUGUUCAUGUUUUGAAUUAGUUUGAUCAUUUUAGAACGAAUUUUUACUUAACAGAUCAAUACGUGCAAUGGGGUGAAAUGUGGGGAGACAUUUACAGGACCUAACUCUCCAAACAAACCAUCAACAUGGACAGAAAUCCGGACAUCUUUGUAUGUGUAAAUUGUGAAACUCAAUUAGUUAUUUUGCCGCUUCUUUUUGUUAGAAAAAGGUAUACUUGUGAUAAAAUUUCUUAUCAACUACAUAAACUAAAUGUCACUGAAAGCCUGCUCAGUAGUUUCCACAAAUUAUAUUUUACACUUGAGGUAGAGAUGCUGGCUUGUGCUAAUAUUCUGAAAUUUGUUUCUUUUUAAAAUUCUGAUUCCAAUUUUUGUUCUGACUUCAGGAAUUUCUUUUCCUGCUUGCUCUAUAUAUGGACUACCAUUUGGCUUUAUGGUACUUGCUCUUGUAAUCUCUGGUUUUAAUUAGCGUGUAAGAUGAAUGAGUGUAAGUUUGGACGAAUAAGCUGUUUAUGAGAUCAUGAGCAUCAAAUGAGUGUCGGUUCUCUAUUUGUUGUGUAUGUUACUCCCUCUUUUUCUUUUUUUCUGUUUCUUUUUUUAAACUUGGAAAAAUUAUAAUUUGCAUACCUAUAUUCCUAUACCCACAAAAACUUGUCAAGUGUUUUGCAGGUUAUCAUUUUCUUUAUGUUUACUUUUUAACCGUGUUCUUUGAAUCACCGCCUGUGUGUAAAUAUCGCCUUUCAGUAAUGGACAUUCUAUUUUAAGUUGUUGUCAGAGGCUCGGAGCUUAGUCAUUCAUGAAUUAUUAAACAAGAUUCUAGCUCGAGUGACAUAUAACAUUUUGAUGCUUUUUUUGCAUCAGUCAAGAUACUUAAUUGGAUUUAUAAUUGCGGCUAAGCCUGGAAAUUACUACGUCUUAGAAGUUUUCGUGCAAAAUUAAGUUGGUCGUCACAUCUGUCUGGUACAAUUUUGGCGUUUUCUUCUUGUAGUGCUAUAUAUACUAGCACAACAACCUGCAUUUGCAGUAGAUUUGCAGAAGAAGUUCUACCAUGGGUUUGGCAAGCAAUAUCUUUGGCCUCUCUUUCAUUACAUGUUGCCUAUGUCCCCUGAUCACGGGUUCCGUUUUGAUCGAGGGCCUUGGAAAGCCUAUGUUUCAACAAACAAGAAGUUUGCCGACAAGCCAAAUCAUGCCUUUGCAUCAGAAGCUCACUACUGCAUGACAUUACUUAAUAUGGUGUUCGCUCCUGCUACCUUGCAGAUGUAAGAUGCAACAAAGGGGUGUAUGGAUAUCGAUUCAGAUUAGGGUUGCUCGAAUGCUAGUUAAUGAUAUUGUAAGGUUACCAACUGUUGCAGUGCUUGAACGAUUCAAAAUGCAGAAACAACCCCAUGGAAACAAGUCAAUAUUAGAUUGUACAUUUGAUGCCUUUCCUCAAGCUUUGUGUGGGGCCCUGUUGGCUGAAGUAUUUUUCACUACCAUAGAUUUUCGAGGCUGGUCAGUUCUUGUAUUAGAUCACAGACCUGAAGAAAUUUUAUUCUGUGGUAAUUGUAUGAAUAAUUUUGG